rnacentral:rRNA from 1 species
AACGAACGCUGGCGGCAGGCUUAACACAUGCAAGUCGAACGCACCUUUCGGGGUGAGUGGCAGACGGGUGAGUAACGCGUGGGAAUCUACCCUUCUCUACGGGAUAGCUCCGGGAAACUGGAAUUAAUACCGUAUACGUCCUGAGGGAGAAAGAUUUAUCGGGGAAGGAUGAGCCCGCGUUGGAUUAGCUAGUUGGUGGGGUAAAGGCCUACCAAGGCGACGAUCCAUAGCUGGUCUAAGAGGAUGAUCAGCCACAUUGGGACUGAGACACGGCCCAAACUCCUACGGGAGGCAGCAGUGGGGAAUAUUGGACAAUGGGCGCAAGCCUGAUCCAGCCAUGCCGCGUGAGUGAUGAAGGCCCUAGGGUUGUAAAGCUCUUUCAGUGGGGACGAUAAUGACGGUACCCACAGAAGAAGCCCCGGCUAACUUCGUGCCAGCAGCCGCCGUAA